rnacentral:rRNA from 1 species
UGGUUAAAAAGCUCGUAGUUGGAUCUCGGCGGUCUGAGGGCGGUUCGCUUGAUUGAGUGCUACUGCUCUAUAGGCCGUGGUUUUGCCAGAGGUCUCGGGGUGCUCUUAACCGAGUGUCCUGCGAUGCUGGCAGGUUUACUUUGAAAAAAUUAGAGUGCUCAAAGCAGGCUUUUACGCCUGAAUAUUCGUGCAUGGAAUAAUAGAAUAGGAAGUCGUUUCUAUUUUGUUGGUUUUCGGAAAUCGACUUAAUGAUUAAUAGGGACAGUCGGGGGCAUUUGUAUUCAAACGACAGAGGUGAAAUUCUUGGACCGUUUGAAGACAAACUACUGCGAAAGCAUUUGCCAAGAAUGUUUUCAUUAAUCAAGAACGAAAGUUAGAGGUUCGAAGGCGAUUAGAUACCGCCCUAGUUCUAACCAUAAACGAUGCCAGCUAGCGAUCUGCCGACGUUUUCUUUGUAGACUCGGCAGGAAGCUUCCGGGAAACCAAAGCAUUUGGGUUCCAGGGGAAGUAUGGUUGCAAAGCUGAAACUUAAAGGAAUUGACGGAAGGGCACCACCAGGAGUGGAGCCUGUGGCUUAAUUUGACUCAACACGGGAAAUCUCACCAGGCCCGGACACUGGAAGGAUUGACAGAUUGAUAGCUCUUUCUGU